rnacentral:rRNA from 1 species
CAGAGUACCACGGGACACGUGAAACCCUGUGGGAAGCAGGAGGGACCACCCUCCAAGGCUAAAUACUACCUAGUGACCGAUAGCGUAUAGUACCGUGAGGGAAAGGUGAAAAGAACCCCGGGAGGGGAGUGAAAUAGAACCUGAAACCCUGCACUUACAAGCUGUGGAAGCACAUUUCUUGUGUGACCGCGUACUUUUUGUAGAACGGGCCAACGAGUUACGUUAAGUAGCAAGGUUAAGCACUUAAGGUGUGGAGCCGUAGCGAAAGCGAGUUUUAACUGAGCGUUCAGUUACUUGACGUAGACCCGAAACCGGGCGACCUACCCAUGAGCAGGAUGAAGCGAAAGUAAAAUUUCGUGGAGGUCCGAACCCACGAGCGUUGAAAAGCUCGGGGAUGACUUGUGGGUAGCGGUGAAAUUCCAAUCGAGCCCGGAGAUAGCUGGUUCUCCCCGAAAUAGCUUUAGGGCUAGCCUCAAGGUGAGAGAUACGGAGGUAGAGCACUG